rnacentral:rRNA from 1 species
UGUGGUGAUGAGGGCAAGAAGGACACACCUGUUCCCAUC